GACUCUAAAUGAAAUAUAUUAUUUUACAGAAUUUGUGGAAAUUUUUCUGAAGCCAUUUGAUAUUUUAAAUGAUUUAAAUGGAAUUUCGGGUGAAUUAUAGAUCGUGAAAAGUAUUUUAUAAUCUUUUUCUUUUAUUCUUUUUCUCUGAAAAUACGCCUUCUCCGUAGGAAAACGUAUUCUCGGGGGAAUACGCUUUCAGUCUGCGGAAAACGUAUUCUCGGGAGAAUACGCUUUCAGUGUCUCUCUCUCUCUCUGACAGGUGGGGCCCACCUGUCAUCCCUCACCUC
rnacentral:lncRNA from 1 species